rnacentral:lncRNA from 10 species
CAGCAGCAAACACAGCAGUCAAAUGCGUGUGGCCCCCAGGACCUUAUAUUUUAGUGGUGGAAGCUAGACAACCACCAAACAUGUAAUAUACCAGAUGGUGGUACGUUCUAUGGAGGAAAGAAAGGACGAGGGGCAGGGAGUCCUGGGCUGGUGGGACAGGGUGCUAUGGCUCAGAGGGAACUCAGAGAUCACCUAAUUCAGGCCCUGACCUGGAGGGCUCAUGCUUUGCACACUGUGCUAAGAAUUUGGACUUUCUUUCUCCAAGAAUAAGGACAAUGAGAGCCAGCAAGCAGGGAAGUGGAGCAAGGAUGGUGCCGUCCGGCUGCUCAGCUGCUGGCUGGAACUCCCGGAGGACUCUGUGAGGAUGCAGGUAGAAGAGGGAAGCCCACCAGAGCCCUCUUCUCUCUGGGGAGGAGCUGGCUCCCUGAAUCUCCAAGACAAACCCAGACAGCCCUGGGGACCUUGAAUGUGAGCAAGGGGAGCAGAAAGGAGGCUCCAGCCCACCCAGGGCCCCUGCAGGGUCUGCACACACAAUUACAGGUCCUCAUUUCCCUCUCCUAAUGAUGCCCCAAAACAUUAAGGGAAGUUAAAUCAAACCACCAGGUGUCCAGCAUGAACAGCUGAAAUAAUAAAUUCACGAGAUUUGAAUCCAAAUAACUGAUGAUUUGUUCCAUGAAUGCCAGAGCUGGAAGGGAUGGGGUUGGCAGAAGAGACAAGACUGGACCAUGGACCUGGUGGUUCUGUGCAGAGGCCAAAGCUACUCUCCUUCCCACCUGGCCCUGUGCUGGGCCUAACCUGGAGCCCCCUCUAUCCUCUGCCUCAUUCUUCUCCGGGUCAAGGUCCAGCAUGAACUCCAUGUCCUCCAGGAAGCCCUGGUGGACUUGGGCAGACCUGGGGACACGUCCAGCCUCCUGGCAAGAUGGGGGUAACAGGAGUGUGUAUAAAGGGGAAGGCAAGAAUGUGCCCUUGGUGGAGCAGUGAAAAGAAGCCCUCAUGUGACAAGUGUUUUGCUCCUAACCCACCUCCUCUGGUGACAUCUUCUGGGUUAACUGCUCUUGCUGAUCUCUGCACAUAAACCAAGCUAACUGUGAGAGGCCUUUCAUUUCUAGUUUAAAGCAAGGAGACCACAGUUCCUUCUGAACACUCACCCCCAAGGAGAUAAGGAGGGCGUCCCAUGAGCAACACUGUGUGUUAAAGAUGUACACGAGCACUGGGACCUGACCAAGGACAAACACGUCUCCAGCCCCCUCAGACCCUUGCUGCUGCUCAGAUGUCCGCUGUCAUCGGUCACAUCCUAACCUCAACCCCCUCUCUCCUCCCACAUAAAAGGAGGCUGAAAUUCAUAGUAACUUCAGAUGGUUCUUUAGGACACUGGCCCACCACCUUCUCGGUUGCUGGCUCUCCAAAACAAAGCCCCCUCCCUUGACCCAAUUCCUUGUUUCUUGACGUACUGGCUGUUGUGCAGUGCAUGGUACCGGCUUGAACUCGGUUAUGUUGGCAUGGCCUCUGGCGGUGCUCAGUUUGUGUGGAUGAGUAUUUUACAGCUACUGUCCUAUUUCCAGUCCCCUUCCUCUGGACGGCUAUGGGAUGUGCUGUGGAUGCCCUCUCUUAGGCUGGAAUAAACCACCCUACCUUCUCCUCUGCCUUGUCUCCACCAAAUAAACUCCUUAAGGCAGGGAUAGAGUCUUGCACUCCACGAAGAAGUAUUGCUGCAUCCUCAGCUGUGUAAGAGUGACCGGGCUUCUUCUAUUCCACCUGUAAUGGAACUUUAGGCACGCAGAGAGAGAUGGCAAAUUUGUGCUGGCUGAAGGGGUCAGCAAAUGCAUAUAAGGCUUCUUGUGCUCCAGAGAGAGAAUGGAGUGCAGUCAGUGAGACCCUGAGGGGAGAAGGAACCAAAAGCCUGGGCAGAAGGGAUCGUGGAGGUGCCCAGGGUCAGGAGGGAUGGGAAGGGUGAGGAACACAAGAGAUCACCUGGAGGCAUUAGAGGAGAAGGCAGGCACUGGGGAUGGUGCCGCUGAUCCAGGUGGAGCAACAUCCUAGGACCCGAGUGCUGGGCAGGUGCAUCCGUGGAGGGAAGCUUCUCUCCUCUCUCGGCUCCUGCUGAGAGAGGCAAUCAUUCCCCUGGCUUGCCCUGCAAGAGACAGGAGCUCUAGGUAGAUCUCUGCUAUCUAGGGAAUAGAAUGUGAAUAUUUGAAAGUUCUAGAGGUCAAGUCUUAGGUUCCCUCUCAGCUCAGAUCCCAAAUGGUACACUCUACCCUAACCCCCUUUUCUUGUAGCUUUGCUACAUGGAGAGGAAAAUACCUUGCCAGACACCAACAGUCCCUUCUCAGCACUUUUGUGUGAAGACAACUCAGACCCUAAGAGAAUGGGGUCUAAUUUGCAGGUGCCACUGGAAGGCAGAGGUCACGGGAGCCCUGGACUUCAGACAAGGUAGAGGGAUCCUGGAGACAGCACAUCUGGCCCUGGAGCCCUGCCCACCCGGGGAGUGAGGGCAGCUCUCCUGCUCUCCUAGGAGGCCUGCCCGAGGACCCCCAUGUCCUCUAUGUGUGGGAUUCUGCAGUUUGCACUCACAACCCAGAGCCUUUUACCCAACUACCCUGUUUGUAGGAAUGUGUCCAAAAUAAGCAUCAGACAAGUACAUGAAGAUGAAUGUGCAAAGACGUUCAUAACAGGAUUGUUUAUAAUCAUGAAAAAUGAUCUGCAGAUUUCCUGUCUGCUGUGCAGGAUGAGUUAGACGGGGAUGCAUCCAUAAAAUCACUUUGCCCUCAUUUAAAAUUAUAUCAUAGAUCUAUGUUUAAUGACAUAGUAAACGGUACUCAAUGCAUUAAGUGAAAAAAGCAUAUACAUAUCAGGAUGUAUAUGAUCAAGUUUUUGUUAAAUGGAUGCAUGUAUGCAUGUCAGUAACUGUCUGUGUUUGCAAACAAAACGUCUAGCAAGACGUGCAUCAAAUAUUAACAAUCAUUAUCUUUGGAUUCUGGAUUUAUUGACUUCUAUUUUUGACUUUGCCCUUUGUUUUUCUAUGUUAUCUGACACUUUUACACUGAGUUUAUAUUAUUUUU